rnacentral:rRNA from 1 species
UGCGCAGGCGGUUUCGUAAGCCAGACGUGAAAUCCCCGGGCUUAACCUGGGAACUGCGUUUGGGACUGCGAGGCUGGAGUACGGCAGAGGGAGGUGGAAGUUCCAAGUGUAGCAGUGAAAUGCGUAGAUAUUUGGAGGAACACCGAUGGCGAAGGCAGCCUCCUGGGCUAGUACUGACGCUCAUGGCACGAAAGCGUGGGGGAGCAAACAGGAUUACGAUACCCUGGUAGUCCCACGCCCUAAACGAUGGCAACUAGUUGUUGGGGAUUUAACGAUCCUUAGUAACGCAGCUAACGCGUGAAGUUGCCCGCCUGGGGAUACGGUCGCAAGAUUAAA